ensembl:snRNA U6 U6 spliceosomal RNA
AUGAAUAAACACAUAUACUAAACUUGGAACAAUACAGAGAAGAUUAGCAUGGCCCCUAUGCAAGGAUGACACACAAAUUCGUGCAAGCCAAAUCCAGAAU